GGAGGUUUGGCAGAGUGGUCGAAUGCACCGGUCUUGAAAACCGACGGGCGUGAAAGCGUCCCCAGGGUUCGAAUCCCUGAGCCUCCG
rfam:Sulfitobacter mediterraneus strain 1FIGIMAR09 PM02_029, whole genome shotgun sequence.